AAUAUUGCGCAAUGGGCGAAAGCCUGACGCAGCGACGCCGCGUGGGGGAUGACGGCCUUCGGGUUGUAAACCUCUUUCAGCAGGGACGAAGCGAAAGUGACGGUACCUGCAGAAGAAGCACCGGCCAACUACGUGCCAGCAGCCGCGGUAAUACGUAGGGUGCAAGCGUUGUCCGGAAUUAUUGGGCGUAAAGAGCUCGUAGGCGGUCUGUCGCGUCGGCUGUGAAAACCCGAGGCUCAACCUCGGGCCUGCAGUCGAUACGGGCAAACUGGAGUGUUGCAGGGGAGACUGGAAUUCCUGGUGUAGCGGUGAAAUGCGCAGAUAUCAGGAGGAACACCGGUGGCGAAGGCGGGUCUCUGGGCAACAACUGACGCUGAGGAGCGAAAGCGUGGGGAGCGAACAGG
rnacentral:rRNA from 1 species